UGUUGUAGAGAUACAGCAGCCGCUUGCGGUCUGUAUACAGGUGCUGCAUGGCUGUCGUCAGCUCGUGCUGUGAAGUGUUGGGUUAAGUCCCGCAACGAGCGCAACCCUAUCAUCUGUUGCCAGCAUUUAAGGUGGGGACUCAGAUGAGACUGCCGGUGACAAACCGGAGGAAGGUGGGGACGACGUCAAGUCAUCAUGGCCCUUAUGUCCUGGGCUACACACGUGCUACAAUGGCCGGUACAGAGUGAAGCGAAACCGCGAGGUGAAGCAAAACGCAGAAAGCCGGUCUCAGUACGGAUUGGAGUCUGAAACUCGACUUCAUGAAGUUGGAAUCGCUAGUAAUCGCGCAUCAGCAUGGCGCGGUGAAUACGUUCCCGGGCCUU
rnacentral:rRNA from 1 species